UGCGGACCAGCAUCCUUCCCGCGCCGCUCCCGAAGAGAUGCACAGAGCCCAAGACACUGCUCCGCCCGGCCCAGACGCGCUGCUCCCGCCCCUCCGCCCGAACGUGGGGGUUUUUUUUUUCCCCGGACCGUCCUGAUUUUCCCACGUAAUUUUGAUCCUGUCACCAUCAUCAUAAAGACAAAGGACUCCCACAAGCACCUGGGAUGCCUCCUCUCCAGUUACAUCCUCUCUAAGCCCGCGUCUGAGACUCUAGGGGCUUCAUCUUGCUUUCCUAUAAGAAAAAGAAAAAGAACUUCCCCUGACUCCAGCCUCUUCUACCGAACUGACCCUGGAGCUCCCUAUUUCUCGUGAACUGCUCUGGAUGUUGGUAAUCUGAAUUACAGGAACUUCGAGCUGAGCAGUCAGCCCAGUCAUGGAUUGGAUGGGGGAGAUGGAGACUGGAGAAGAGAAAAGCCAGGAGGAGCAGAUAAUGGCACCGGAAGCGGAUGCCAUUUGUCUGCGCAAGCUUCGGGGAACAGGAAAGAACUUGUCUCUGGCACCUGAAUUUUUCAACUAGCUUUGGGGGCAGAGGAGAGAGAGGAUCCUACGGAGCAGAGCGUCUUAGACGUGGCCUACACAGGAUCAAGGAGAAACACUUUCCCAGCUCUGUUCACGGUGUGAUCCCUCCAUUCCCUACUGAUCUGAAAUGCUGUGACUGUUAAUGUGCCAACAUUUCGUAGAUAUGUGGGCCUGUUUCCGGGCUCCCUACCCAUUGGUCAUCAUAUGCAUCCCAGUGCCUGUACCACUGCUUCAUCUACUGCAGCUUCAAAUAAGUCCUGAUAUAGGUACGUUAAGUGAAGACUCAAAUUUUCCUUGGAAAAGUGGCCUGGCUAUUCUGGGCUCUUUACGCUUCCAUAUCUAUUAGAAUCUGUUUAUGGGUUCCUCCCCAAAAUGAUCUUUUGGAUUUUGAUCAAAAUUUCCCUGUAGGUGAAUUUGGAGAGAACGGAAUCUUUAAUUCAGUGAAGUUGGAAUAGUUCUCCAUUGUUUGGGUCUUCUUUAAAUUUAUGAUUUUCCCUGUAGUGGCUUUAAUUCAGUUUUUGUUAGAUUUAUUCCCACGUAGCUGAAGUCCUCUAAUACUGUUGUAAAUAAUAUCUUGUAUUCAAUUAUUUUUGUUACUAGUGUAUGAAGUGACAGUUCAUUGUUUUAUAUUAAUCUUCUAUUGAGUUACUUGUUAAAUUCUCCUAUUAUUUCUCAGUAUUUGUAGAACUCUUUUGGGUUUCCUAUGUAAAUGAUCAUAUCAAUUACAAAUAGUGAUUUUUUUUUUCCAAUCCUUCUCCCUCUGAAUUAUUUUUUUUAAGUGAAUGUACUGGCAAGAACAUCUACUACAGGAAUGACAAAUGUGUUGAUCUUACCUUUGCCUCACUGCAGAUUUUAAAGGGUAAUGUUCUAAUGUUGCCCUACUUAGGACUACAUUUGCUUAAUUUUUUAAAUGUACUUUUUAAAUCAUGCUAAAGAAAUUACCUCCUAUUCCUAAUUUAUUAAAAGAUUUCUUUCUUUACU